CCGACGGGUGAGUAACACGUAUCCAACCUGCCGUCUACUCUUGGACAGCCUUCUGAAGGAAGAUUAAUACAAGAUGGCAUCAUGAGUUCACAUGUUCACAUGAUUAAAGGUAUUCCGGUAGACGAUGGGGAUGCGUUCCAUUAGAUAGUAGGCGGGGUAACGGCCCACCUAGUCUUCGAUGGAUAGGGGUUCUGAGAGGAAGGUCCCCCACAUUGGAACUGAGACACGGUCCAA
rnacentral:rRNA from 1 species